AAUAAUUUGCAUUGAGUGUGCAAUGUCUGUAUUUCUACCACAGGCAAGGAACAGUAUAGAUUGAUAUGCCUCCUGAAGGACAAGGUGACAGGAGUCUAAGAACACUUCCACACAGUUCAGAUGUCAGGUUUCCUAAAGUGUUGGAGGAGGGUGGAGCUUGUUCAGCCCAGUCUGGGGUGGUGUGCCUCUUCUUGGAUCAGCCCAAAGAUUACAGGCCCAAUCUCUUCUGAAGGUCAGAACUGUUCUUGUUUGCUUUCUGUCAACUGCUAAGAUUCUGAAUUAGACAAAGCAGGACAGAGAUAGAGUAGAUGGGAGUGGAACCCUCUGCCA
rnacentral:lncRNA from 1 species